ensembl:lncRNA
UGGAUGUGUAUUUUAAUAAAAAUAAUUCUGUCAAAAUUAAACGAGUACAAUAUUUCUUUAACAUGUUGCCAGUACAUAUGUAUGUUUUUUUUUCUUUUCAGCUAUCGUUUUCUCUUUUUUUUUUUCGUUUUGUUUUUAAAUCAUCUUCAUCAACUCAUGUAGCAGAAUAAGAAACGAGAGCUCAUAUGUUGAAUGAACACACUAUCGGAAACUGCACAAAGUAUAACCUAAAGGAGUAGCCGUAAACACAUCAAGAACAUGUGAGUAGAAUGGUAUACUCUUUUGCGAACCACAGUUUGGCUUUUAGCUCAUGUUUAUCUGGACCCAGGUGUAUUUCAGACCUGGGAUUAUGUACGUAAUCUCUAGUCCAGUGCUUCUCUAUCUUGGAGUACAGCAUGCACAUGUGGAUAUUUUGCUUGCCUGCUUCAACCCAUAACCUGACUAACAAACCUCAACCAGCUUGAAUUGGGCGAGUUACUAAAAUGUGCACGCCUGGGGUAGUCCAUGACCACCGUUGAGAAACAUAGCUAUGGACCAUUCUUGAAAAGUUCGGAAAUCUUGGAACUGUUCAGUGAAAAAAACAACUAAAUGCAGCUAAUGCACAGGCUGUGUAGUCUCUACUACUGCUUCCUGUGACGUGAACAGGGUUGUUUGCAAUCUGAGUGAGGUAUAACUGAAUACAAUGCAAUACAUCUAAAAACAAUGGAACAUACAGGGGUAAAAUAAAGGAUGUAACAAUCGUAUGGUGACCAACAGUGAAAGGAGAUUAAUGCUGAGGAAACGGCAGGUUCUGGGGAAGAAACUUGGUUUUGUUUAUGGCCAGAGGCCAAGAGAACUUUAAAAGAAGUGAGUACCGUAGAAUAAAAAUUAUGUAUUUGUGUGCCAUAUACACCUAAAUGAGGGGUAGGAGACCACUUUGUUCACGUCCUGCAGUGACAGAGUCAAUAUUGUGUGUAGUGAUAAUGUCACAACUUGUGAUGGCAUGACAGCGAGAAGGUGUGAGACAGUCAGAAAAUGGACUGAAGAGAAAUGUGAAGGAAGGAACAAAGCUUGCAAUGGAGCAAAGAACAAAAGAGGCAAGAAAAUAAAAGAACCACCUAACUCCAAACCCCUCAUUCAUUUUACGGAUAUUCCACUCUAUAAUCGCUGAAGUACAGUUUCUCCAACAGUCGUCUUAAUCAGUCCAACACCUACAAAUAUACAAUCAGUAGAGAUGGUGUAGAUAAUUUGAGGAAACCCCUCAUCAUAAACACUAUCCUAGCAGAUACUAAAUGUAGGAACUGUGGAGCACGUUAGUCAGUUUCCAAGCUUCUAAUGUUGCAGUCAAAGUUAAUGAAAUUAUUCAUCUUGAUUUACUUUGACAAAAACUUCAUAUUUUUAUUCAAUGCAGUCACACACACACACACACACACACACACACACACACACACACACACACCAACAGGUUAAAUUUCCAUAAAGCUGACCAAAAAUGAUAAAAGCUGGGGUUUCACAUAAGUGUACUCUAUAAAGAUCAUCAUUAAAAUAGAAGCUUUGUUUUGAAGUGAGAGAAACCAGAGCUUUAUAAAAAAUACUUAUCAAGUCUGGGUCUACAAUGCAUUUGUAUGAUUCGCAAUCUAAUAAAAAGACCAGUGCUGGUGCCUGACGUAAACUAUUAGCUUGGAGGUGAGACACAAGGGAACUCCGCACCUUCUCGAAAAUCUUGAACACGCUUUUCAAAUAUCAAAAAAA